ensembl:snoRNA small nucleolar RNA SNORA2/SNORA34 family
AUGGUACUGAAUCAAGGCCAACAGCUUCCUGAUGCUGUUGGUUUCAAGCAGCAGCCCAAAGAGAUGUCUUUGGUAUGAUCUGUUGGCCAUUUUAGAACUUGGUCAGUGAAACAGUCAAUUAAUUAGAAAGAAACAGCU